AGCUUUGCGCAGUGGCAGUAUCAUAGCCAAUGAGGUCCAACCGAAGCAUGAUUAUUGCUACUUGGGCUGAAGCAGAAGCGUAGGAUGAAAGCGUAGGAGCUGUGUUCCCAUUAAGGAAGAGCUGCUGGUUUAUUUUUUGUCUGGGGCUCCUUCUGCCUAAUCAUGCUUCACUUCUUUUGCCC
ensembl:snRNA U4 U4 spliceosomal RNA